rnacentral:lncRNA from 1 species
UCAAGCUUCUUAUGGUGAACGGGUUAAGCCUUUCAGGUCAUUGGAGUUUGACUAUCUUGUAAAAAGAAAAAGAGCAUAAUUUUGAAAUAGGAUGUGUCUAUGUGCGAAGCUUCCAGAAGGGAUUUUGGAGAGUCGGGGAACUGCCUGAAUGUUACUGAAGGCCUGAAGUCAAGGAGAGGGCUCCAGUAUGUGAAGUAGAAAUAAAAAAGGAACAUGGUUGGGAUGUGAAGAGCUCCUUUAACAUGGCACAGAGUCUGGUGACUGGAAGGUCUAGAAGUAUAUCAGAGGAAAGGAAAAAUUAAUGGAUAAUGACCAGAUUUUACAUCCACCUAAUGGCUUGGAAUGUUCCAGUGCCAAGAGAAGGCCUUCUUGUCGCAUGUGAUUUCAUAAUAAUUAGGGCCAGCUGUGUCUGUGCGAAUCAGGUCAAGCCAGAUGCCAAACCCUAACUCAAACACUUACAGGAAGAUCCUCAUUGCCAGGAGCCUCAAACGUCCUGCAGAAAAUCAAAAAAAGCAUCUGCCUCCUGUGUCCCCUCUUUCCCUGUUGUACGGCUAACACCAGAUCCCAGUCUCUUCAGUGGCACUCAACUUUUUCAAGUCACAAGAUGGAAGCGCUUUGGAAGAGGAGUAAAGGACCUGGACUCUGAUUCCAUGCCACCGCAAACUCGGGCAGGCACUUCAAAGCAGAGAGUCUCAUUUUCCACUUCUGAAAAACACAUGGUCUAGAUGAGCUCUAAGUCCUUUGCACUCAAUAAUUUCACAGUCUUUUUUAUUAUUAAUAUUAUUUUCAAUUGAAAAAUCAUAAUUGUAUAUUUAUGGGGUACAAUGUGAUGUUUUGAUAUAUGUAUUCAAUAAGGAAUUAUUAAAUCAAG